rnacentral:lncRNA from 1 species
UAAGCAAUCACCCAAAACUGGCCAUGAAAACUAAUUCCUUUGUUUCAUGCAGCAUUGGAAUCUAAAAUUACGUCAUUUGAGAUGCCUAAAGUAAGUAGCGUAGACUAUCAAAAGCGUUGAAUGUGUGGAAGACUGUAUAAAUGUGCUUCAGAAAUUGGAAUUAGCUAGCUAACUCCUCCAUGAACAUAUAGAACUUAUCUUUAACAUAAAUUUCACUUUUUCUCCCUACAAAGCUCAUAAUGAUCAAUACACGUCCCAAAAUCCUGCUAAUUCUUAGCAACAUCAGUCAAUUGCAAUAAAAAACUAUUAAUAGGACCCUACUUACACAUUCAGUCAGACAUAGGACAAUUGAUUGUAUUAGCAAAGUACCUUAGUGAGAAUACAUUACCAUACCAUUGCUACCGAAUGCCCCUUUAGCAUAACCGUCGCUUGAACCUCUCAAUAUAACACAUUGUGUGGCUGCUGUAGGAGAAACAAUAAUCAAAGGGUACAUAGACUUGUGCUCUACUUAAACUUUUCAUUAGGCUUCUCUGAAAAUUUGAGCAACUAAUUUCUGAAAAGUAACAAAGAAAUGGCUAAGAAAGUUAUACUUACUGAGUAUUUAAUCGAAACAAACUAAAAAAGAACAUUAAAACCUUUAAAAUAAAAUGCAUUUGUUCUAUUUUUGAAAUGUGUUGUUCUCUUAAGAUUUAAAUCACAGAGUUAAA